rnacentral:rRNA from 1 species
GAUGAACGCUGGCGGCGUGCCUAAUACAUGCAAGUCGAGCGAACGGACGAGAAGCUUGCUUUUCUGAUGUUAGCGGCGGACGGGUGAGUAACACGUGGAUAACCUACCUAUAAGACUGGGAUAACUUCGGGAAACCGGAGCUAAUACCGGAUAAUAUUUUGAACCGCAUGGUUCAAAAGUGAAAGACGGUCUUGCUGUCACUUAUAGAUGGAUCCGCGCUGCAUUAGCUAGGUGGUAAGGUAACGGCUUACCAAGGCAACGAGGCAUAGCCGACCGGAGAGGGUGAUGGGCAACACGGGAAGUGAGACAGGGCCCAAACUCCAAGGGGGGGCGGCAGAGGGGAAUCUUCGGAAUGGGGCGAAAGCGUGACGGAGCAACGCGGAGUGGGUGAUGAGGGUCUUGGGAUCGUAAAACUCUGUUAUUGGGGAAAAACAUAUGUGUAGGGAACUGUGCACAUCUGGACGGUACCUAAUAAGAAAGCCACGGCUAACUACGGG